rnacentral:rRNA from 1 species
CGCCUUGCCAGCCCGCUCAGAACUUAAAGGAAGUUGACGGGGCCCGGCACAAGCGGAGGAGCAUGUGGUUUAAUUCGAUGAUACGCGAGAAACCUUACCUGGGCUCGAACGUAAGAUGACUGUAGGUGAAAGCUUACAUCUCUUCGGAGCAUUUUACGAGGUGCUGCAUGGUUGUCGUCAGCUCGUGCCGUGAGGUGUCGGGUUAAGUCCCAUAACGAGCGCAACCCCUACCUUUAGUUGCCAUCAGGUUAAGCUGGGGACUCUAAAGGAACUGCCUACGCAAGUAGUGAGGAAGGCGGGGAUGACGUCAAAUCAGCACGGCCCUUACGUCCAGGGCUACACACGUGCUACAAUGGCCGAUACAGAGGGCAGCUACCUGGUGACAGGAUGCAAAUCUCCAAAGUCGGUCUCAGUUCGGAUCGGAGUCUGCAACCCGACUCCGUGAAGUUGGAUUCGCUAGUAAUCGCGCAUCAGCCAUGGCGCGGUGAAUACGUUCCCGGGCCUU